AGCGAACGCUGGCGGCAGGCUUAACACAUGCAAGUCGAACGGGCGUAGCAAUACGUCAGUGGCAGACGGGUGAGUAACACGUGGGAACGUACCCUUUGGUUCGGAACAACACAGGGAAACUUGUGCUAAUACCGGAUAAGCCCCUUACGGGGAAAGAUUUAUCGCCGAAGGAUCGGCCCGCGUCUGAUUAGCUUGUUGGUGAGGUAAUGGCUCACCAAGGCGACGAUCAGUAGCUGGUCUGAGAGGAUGAUCAGCCACACUGGGACUGAGACACGGCCCAGACUCCUACGGGAGGCAGCAGUGGGGAAUAUUGGACAAUGGGCGCAAGCCUGAUCCAGCCAUGCCGCGUGAGUGAUGAAGGCCCUAGGGUUGUAAAGCUCUUUUGGCGGGGAAGAUAAUGACGGUACCCGCAGAAUAAGCCCCGGCUAACUUCGUGCCAGCAGCCGCGGU
rnacentral:rRNA from 1 species